UUUCUUAAUUGGGAACUGGUAUGAAUGGUUGAAACUGAGGGGAGGGUUUCGUUUUAUAAUUUUGAAUUUAAAUUAAAAGUAAGAAUGCUUUUAUAAAUCUUUGGGACGAGAAGACCCUAGAAGCUUUAAAUUAGAUUAAUUUUGGUUGGGGCAACAUUUGAAAAAGGGGAUUUUUAUAUCAUCUAUUCUACUAAGAAUAAGUUACUCUAGGGAUAACAGCGUUAUUUAAUUAGCAAGUUCUUAUUAAUAAUUAAUUUUGCGACCUCGAUGUUGAAUUAAAUUAAAUUUUUGGUGUAGGGGCUAGGGUAAUUAAGUCUGUUCGACUUUUAAUAGCUUACGUGAUCUGA
rnacentral:rRNA from 1 species